GACGAACGCUGGCGGCGUGCUUAACACAUGCAAGUCGAACGGAAAGGCCCUGCUUUUGUGGGGUGCUCGAGUGGCGAACGGGUGAGUAACACGUGAGUAACCUGCCCUUGACUUUGGGAUAACUUCAGGAAGCUGGGGCUAAUACCGGAUAGGAGCUCCUGCUGCAUGGUGGGGGUUGGAAAGUUUCGGCGGUUGGGGAUGGACUCGCGGCUUAUCAGCUUGUUGGUGGGGUAGUGGCUUACCAAGGCUUUGACGGGUAGCCGGCCUGAGAGGGUGACCGGCCACAUUGGGACUGAGAUACGGCCCAGACUCCUACGGGAGGCAGCAGUGGGGAAUAUUGCACAAUGGGCGGAAGCCUGAUGCAGCAACGCCGCGUGCGGGAUGACGGCCUUCGGGUUGUAAACCGCCUUCGCCUGUGACGAAGCGUGAGUGACGGUAAUGGGUAAAGAAGCACCGGCUAACUACGUG
rnacentral:rRNA from 1 species